UACGUAGGGUGCAAGCGUUAUCCGGAAUUAUUGGGCGUAAAGCGUCCGCAGGUGGCACUUCAAGUCUGUCGUCAAAGACUGGGGCUUAACCCCGGAAAGGCGGUGGAAACUGAAGUGCUAGAGUGCGGUAGGGGUAGAGGGAAUUCCCGGUGUAGCGGUGAAAUGCGUAGAGAUCGGGAAGAACAUCGGUGGCGAAAGCGCUCUACUGGACCGCAACUGACACUCAGGGACGAAAGCUAGGGGAGCGAAUGGG
rnacentral:rRNA from 1 species